rnacentral:lncRNA from 1 species
GUCUGUCCAGGGGACGGGGACAGAAAAAAGUCUUUGACUUGGAUCUCCACGUGAGGAAAUGGCCACUACUCCCUAAAGUGAAGGAAAAGAAACACAGGGAGGAGCCAGAGGGGCUCAGAUGCAGGGCCCAGGGAGCGGUCAGACUACACGUGUCUCCAUUAGCAGAGCAUUAUUUUGCAAGAGAAGCGUGUUCCUUUUCUCAAUAGGAAGGAAGAAAUAAAUGAAGGCACCAGCCAGGCCGGAGAAACUUGCAAGUCGCUGUGACUGCUUCGGAUCCAGCACACCCCACCCACCUCGGGCUGUGGACGCCACCUGCAGCAGCCCGGGGAAGACGGAGGAAGAGGCGCUGGCUGCGGAGCAGGUCCUUGGCAAAGAGCGGAAGGUGACGGGGCGCAGGGAGCGCCUGCUCUUAGGAUCCUGCCUCUCAGCUGAGGAGGGAGCAAUUCAAGUUUUAAUAAUCUCAGGCAUAUGAAUGAUGCAAACUUGCAACAGCGUUUGAAAGUGCACUUAUUUAAACUUCUUUUUCCUCUAAAUAGCUUUGCGACUGUCGACCGGUAAAUUUUCCUUUUUAUUUCAUCACAUUCAUCGUUUGCCCUCUUGCCAGCAGGGACCCCACAAUGGCGACAAAUGGGUUCUCCGGGGCAAAUGGCAAAAGAGAGGAAGUUUCCCGUCGGACUUUCCCAAGCCCCCCUCUCCCCGCCCCUUCUUGCACCUGGACCUUCUGAGGCUGUCGCACCCCUCCCCUGGGCGGGGCCGGCACUAGGGAUACUGGAUUUCUCCUACUCUUCCCGCCCCUGGAUUCUUUCAGCCCUCACCCCCUCCCAGGAAAGAGGAAGAGAAGCAGCGGUGACGAGGACAGGCGGUGGUUGCCUACCCAGGAAUCCGAGCCCCCCGGUACAUAGCUGUAUAUUCUUCUCUGUGGGUCCUUCUAGUUGUGGCAUGUGGGACGCUGCCUCAGCGUGGUCUGAUGAGCAGUGCCAUGUCCUCGCCCAGGAUUCGAGCCAACGAAACACUGGGCCGCCUGCAGCGGAGUGCGCGAACUUAACCACUCGGCCACGGGGCCAGACCCCGGUCACACUUUUGUAAGAGACUUGAAGAGCGUGGUCUACGGCUUGUGCUGCGCCGCAGGGGUGUAGACCCAGAGUGCAAGCACAGGCGAAGAUCAGACACUCAUUUCACACUUCUGAUAGAAAAAUGAAGAAUUCAGAACCUGACUGUAAGCUCAAGACAAGAUGCAACAAAAGGAAUAAAAACUCAAAGAUCUUGGAAAAGAAUUCCAGCAACAUCAAACCAAGGAGCACGGACUUGCAGGUUGCUCAUAAAUUCCAGGACCUCUACCGCAUCCACAGGCAGGUGGAGGGCCGUCCCCAUCACCAGCUCUACCAGUGGCACCUCUACCGGCAGGAAUUGGUCCUUCUCCUCCUCCAACUCCUUUACCUCGACUAAGUGAUAUACCACAUCCACCACUAUCACCUUUGUUUGGGGACCUCCUACAAGGAUUACUUCCUGCUCUAACUUAAGAAAUAAAUGUAUAAACCUGAACUCCAUGUAUUGAUUCUUGAACUGCAUGACUUGAUUCUCCAUGAAGAGAAUCAAAUGGUCAAAGGCAAAAUUUUGACUAGAGGUUUUUGGCACCUUCUAGCCCCCAAUAGUCAUUAAUAUGCAAAUAACUGCAUAGCUGUGCACAAGUAUGGUAUAAUAUUACAGAAUACGACCGCUGACUCUUGCUUUCCUUUGUGAACUCACCAUCUUAUGUUUCUCUUUCAGUUCAGUAUCUCAGUAAUUGGAAACUCCAUAGACAAUAUCAAAUUUAUGUAGACGGCAAAGGAGAAUUAAAGUGGUGUAAAGAUAAUUGUGUUAGUUUCCUAAGGCUGCCAUAACGAUUCCCACAAGCUGGGUGGUUUAUAAAAAACAGAAAUUUCUCUCUCACAGUUGUGGAGGGCAGAAGUCCACAAUAACAGUGUAGGUAGUGCCACACUCCCUGAAGGCUCUAGGGGACAAUCUCUUUCUUGCCUUUUCCAGCUUCCAGCAUUUUUGGCAUUCCUUGGUUCAUGGAAUAUCUCUGUUCUGUCUUCACACUGCCUUCUCCCAGUGUCUGUGUAUAAACUUCCCUCUUCCAGGAGUGAAUACAUGUGGUUGCAUUUAUGACCCACCGAACUGACUAUUACAUGUUGAUCUUUUACUCUGCACCAUUAUUACAUUUGUUUAUUAGUGCUAGUAUCUUUUUGAGGAUUCUUUGGCAUACUAGAUGUAUUAGUAUCAUGUCAUCUGCAAAAAGAUUUUCCAAUUUGAAUGCCUUUUAUUUCAUGUUCUGGCCUAUCUGCUAUGGCUACAACUUCCAGUAAAAUCUUGAACUGACGAUAACUGACAUCCUUGUCUUCUUCCUGAUUUUAACGGGAAAGACUUCAGUCUUUCAGCACUGAGUAUGACAUUAGCUGUGGGUUUUUCACAUGUGCCCUUUAUUAUGUUGAAGAAGUUCCUUUCUAUUCCUUUUCUAUUGAG